rnacentral:lncRNA from 1 species
AUUUUCAGUAUUUUUUAGACAAAAGAAGUCAUUCUACCGUGAUGCAUUGUGACCAUGACGGUAAUUUAAAUACUAUUAUAAAUAAAAUUAAAAUUACAGUAUUUUUAGUACCGUAGAAGUACCGUAAUAUAACAUCUAUUACGGUACUUUAACUACCGUAAUACUUUAAAAUAAUAUUAGGGUAAUUUAAAUAUCAUGAACAACUCAACACGAAAGAUUUUUUACUCUCUCGAGUCUACUAUUUAUUUACUCCCUCGACAAAAAUCCACGCUAGUUGUAAUUUUUCAAAUCUUAAAUUUUUAGGAUAUAAUCUCUACUUAAUUUUUAUAUGGUUCUCAAAAUUUUAGAACGAAAACACGCUUUAAUAGGUGUUUUUGAGAGAGAGUAGAUCCACAUCGUGCUUCCAUGGGAACAUGGAUUUUUUAAAAUAAGUAGCCCUGAUAUUAGCUUUGUUUGAAACUUUUUAAACCAUUACCGUAAUACUUUAAUGAAUUAUGUAGGUGUGAUGUUUUCAGUAUUUAAAGAAUUUAUGUAGAAUAUUUGUCACCAUAUUAUAGUUAAAGUAUUUAAUGAAUAAAUUUAUAUAGUAUAUUUUUUUUUGGUUGUAAUAAGUAGGUGGGAUGUUUCUUAAAAUAUUUCUUAGGUAGAUUUAUAUGGUAUAUUUUUUUGGUAUAUACUAGUUAAUUAUGUAUUUAAUAUUAGAUGAUUGGAUGAGAGUCACGAGGCAUCUAAAUUAAUUGACUCAAUUAUAUUCGUCUAAUAGAGUUUUUAUGGAUGAAUUAGUUAUGGGAAAAGUUUAUAUAAGGAUGCAACCUUAUAAUGUAGAACUACGGAUGCACUUCAAAAAUCUAUCAGAAAAAGUAGUUUUAAUGUUGACAACCCUUUGAUUGAUCAUCUCGACAUCGAGAUGUAUGAUUAUGAAAAAAAAAGAUUUUAGGUCUCAUAAAUAGUGCAUUUUACAACAUAUUAUCUACGCCGUCCAUUUUCAAGAUUUUCAUAUGUUUAUAGAUCUACUUGAUUUUAACCAUUUUUUAAAAUUAAAAUUUUAUAAUUAUAUAUAAAAAUAGAUUUUGAGAUAAUCCUAAUAACAUUUUACAUCAAAAUUAUAUACCAUGAUAAAAUAUGACGGUGCACCUUACUCCUAUACCUACAUAUGCAUCCAUAUGCAAACUGCAGCUAUUAGUUAUUGAUAGCUUUGAUAUAGUUUUUACUUUUUAAAAUUUUAAAAUUUCUAAUAUUAUAAAUUUAUUUGAUUUUUUUACUUCGAUUUUUUGAGCCUAAUCCGAUAUAUUAGCGAUAUCUUUAUAUGAAGUAUUUUUGCUUAUCUGUAUUUUUUACCCAAUUUUUUCAUCCGACUUUUUAAGAUAAAAAUAAUUUAUUUCCAAUUUUAUGGUGAGCUGAUUUAUUUAUAGUCUCCGACUUGCUAACUAUGCUCAUGACAUACAAUCUUGUUGCAAAUACGUUGCUUCCUAAUAAUAUUAAUAUGCAAAGAAAAGAUUUUAUUAGGGAUGUUUUGGCUUUAGAGUGGGGAAUCAAUAGGGCGGGUCCGAUUUCGAAUAUACAAUGAAAACGGGUUGGUUGUCUUACAAAAUCAUCUGAUUUUGUCAGGACUUGGCCAAUCUAGCCUUACCUUUCAUUUUUUAUUUUUUAUUUUUUAUUUUUAUUUACCAAUACACUUGGCUAGAUCAUAAUUCCAAACGAUUUUCGAGAUGGGUGAUUCAUGUCAUUCAUCUACCUUUUUAAACAUUGGAUUUUCAAAUCUCAUUUGCGUUAGUUUUUAAGUAUUGUAUUAUUUUUUUAGAAUCAAAUUUUGCAAUGAAGGAUCGAGAUUGAUUUGCAAGCCAUCACUCCUCCUAGACCCAGUAUUUUUUCCUUGGUUUUAAGAUGCGGCUAGGGGUGCCAAUGGACAGGGCCUACCCGUGGGCUUCCGGACAGGGCCACUUAACAGCCCUCCAGUGGGCCGGUAUUAUCAGGUCCCUAGCAGGCUCCUGGUCGGGCAAGGCCGUUUUUGACGUAAACGGUUAUCGGGCCAGGCUUGAUAAGCUCAGAAUUUUCCAUCAGGCCAGGUUGUCCCAAAUAUCAUCAAAUUGAUCAUCUCGACAUCAAAAUGUAUGGAUAUGAGAAAAAAAUGGAUUUUAAGUUUUGAAAAUAGUAUAUUUUGUAAUGCAUUUUUGGACUGUCGAUUUUCAAGUUUUCAUAGACAUAUCGAUCUACAUUAUUUUUGAAGCUUUAAACUUUAUAAAUAAAGAUGAAAAUAUAUUUUAAGGCCAUCACACAGUUUUUCAAUAUUGAAACUGCAUGUCUCAAGACUAUUUGAAAGUAGGCUAUAAUUUGAUUGUUUAGAGCCUAGGCUCUAUACAAACCGCACCCAUAUAUAUAUAACUUUNNNNNNNNNNNNNNNNNNNNNNNNNNNNNNNNNNNNNNNNNNNNNNNNNNNNNNNNNNNNNNNNNNNNNNNNNNNNNNNNNNNNNNNNNNNNNNNNNNNNNNNNNNNNNNNNNNNNNNNNNNNNNNNNNNNNNNNNNNNNNNNNNNNNNNNNNNNNNNNNNNNNNNNNNNNNNNNNNNNNNNNNNNNNNNNNNNNNNNNNNNNNNNNNNNNNNNNNNNNNNNNNNNNNNNNNNNNNNNNNNNNNNNNNNNNNNNNNNNNNNNNNNNNNNNNNNNNNNNNNNNNNNNNNNNNNNNNNNNNNNNNNNNNNNNNNNNNNNNNNNNNNNNNNNNNNNNNNNNNNNNNNNNNNNNNNNNNNNNNNNNNNNNNNNNNNNNNNNNNNNNNNNNNNNNNNNNNNNNNNNNNNNNNNNNNNNNNNNNNNNNNNNNNNNNNNNNNNNNAUAUAUAUAUAUUAAAAAAAAUUAAACCACUCCCUCUUUAGAAACUCAAUCUCUCCUCUAUUUAAACAAGUGGUCUUGGGCUAGACUGUUCUGAUCUCCUCUUUAGAAACUCAAUCCCUAGACUGCUAAUGUUACUGUGUGAGAAUAUAUCCGAAGACCACUAGUGAAGAUGGUUAAUUAAGGCUGUUUUUAUUGUAAACCUUGCAGGACUAGUACCCAAAACGGCUGGGCAAGGUCUUCCUGAUCCAUGUGCCUUACAUCUUCUGGACUGGAUGGAAAGUUAUCUACCCAUUCCUUAAUAUUACAAGAAACAUUUCUUUACGCAAGAAUGAGAUAAUUGCACACAAUAGAAGCAAGGCAUUCUUGGGGAGAUCAGAAAAACCAUGAUAAGUAUUAUUACUUCUGUUCUUUUGUCAAAUUCACAAAACAAGUCUCAAUUUCUGAUCUAAUUUGUAUACAAAUGAGAUUUUUUUUAUUUGAUUUUGCAGGUUUUUGGCUAAUGGGCAUCGAUCAGUCGUAAUCAUCAACGUCAAUGGAGCCAUCUUUCAUCUUCACAUGAACUCCCUCUCUCUUGAAUUCUUAUCAACAAAAUUGAUUAGUUAAGCAAGUUGAUCUGAAACCCAAUUGAUCUCUUCACACAUUUUAACUUUGAUUUUGCAGGGCCCUCUGGUAUCUAUGUAUGCUAAACUACCAAACAUGCUCAUUAACAAAAACCCUAAAAUCCCCACCUGCAUUACUCUCUCCGAGUGCCCGGGCGACCCUGAACUCUUCGAGCUUGUCAUGAAAUUCAGUUAUUCCCAAAAAUCCAACGUAACUCCUGUUAGGGCGUGAUGCUAAAUCACCCCUUUAUGAUAUUUACCCUUUGAUAAAGGGUAGUCACAUCAAUAAAACAUGCCUUUUGGUAAAAGCCUUUUGGAAAGGGUUAUAUAGAGAGACGUGCGGAUGGAUAGAGUGAAAAGGAAGUGCGCGGGCAUGAGAAAAGGUCAAAACAGUGAAGAGAGUUUGGGGAAAGAAAAAUUGGGGUUUUUUUUUUGCUACAAAACCCUAACGCCACCAUUGGGGCUUAUUUUGAGUCAUUUUGUCAAUAUUUUUUUGCGGCUGCAGCUAAUCGAAAAAAGAAAUCGACUGUAGGUGGUUUUGUGGUAGGAAGUUUUGUAUUUGAACAUUUGUUGAGAUUGUAUGCGGUAACUCUGCAUAACUCCAAUCUUGUAAUUUUUCUUCUUGAUAGUGAAUACAUAUUUACUGUCUUACUCGUGGAUGUAACCCAUUUUAGGUAAACCACGUAUAUGUAUGUCCCUCUCUACUUUUAUUUGUGUUGUGCUUUGAAGAUUUCUCAUAUUGCUUGAUUUCUUGUUUAUAUAUUUUUCUCAAUUAUAUUACACUUGUUAUUGCAUCUUGGACAUGUUAUUUGAGUGUUGAAAGCAUUGUGGUAGAGUGCUCACCACAUCUAGUGGGUUUUGAGAUAUCCCGAUUUGCUCAAAAGAUCUGAUUGGGUUAUCCCGAUUUUACAACAAGUGGUAUCAGAGCUCAAGGAAUUAAUCUAGUAUUUUUUUGGAAAAUAACAUUUCACAAGUUUGAGGUGGAGAAGUUUAAUGGGAAAGAUAAUUUGGAAAUUAAAAAUACAAAAUUUAUUGGUACAUCAAGGGCAACACAAAGCAUUACUUUGAAAAGACAAGAAAUCGAUAAAUAUAAUCGAUGAUGAUUGAGACGAAUUCGAUAUGAAGGAACAAGCCAAUGUUCGCUUGUAUUUAGCGAAUGAGAUUUUGUUUAAUAUUGUUGGUGAAAAGACGACAAAAGAUUUGUGGGACAAAUUGGAAAGUUUGUAUCAAACAAAAUCUAUCAUAAAUCGAAUUUUUUUAAAAAGAAAAUUAUAUACCUUGAUAAUGAAAGAAGAUGCAAAUGUGUUGCAGCACAUGAAUGAGUUUAAUAACUUCAUUUGUCAACUUGAGAGUAUUAGUGUGAGAAUAGAUGAUGAAGAUAAGGCAGUCACCUUACUUUGUUCAUUGUCGGAAUCCUAUGAUAACCUAUUACUACAUUGAAUUGUAGUAAAGAUGAUUCUCUCAUUUUGGGCUCGGUGUGUAGUGCCCUACUUGCCGAUGAACUUCGAAAGAAAGCAUUUUUGGGAAGUUCGGUAGAUUCGAAGAUGGAAACUCUUGUGGCAAAAGGUCGAUCAAAUGAACGGGGUGAUUCAUCGAGGAAUCAUUCAAGAUUUCAAUCAAAAUCUAGAGGGUCCAAUAACAAGAAUGUGUGUUGGCAUUGCGGGAAGCCCGGUCAUAUAAGGAAGAAUUGUUUUAAAAGAAAUGGAGUGAAUUCUUCCAAAGCUCCUAAUGCUAGAGGUGAAAAGCCAAGUGAAUCCACGAAUGAAGCAAAUCAAGUUGAAGAAUCUACAUCCGGGUUCAUUGAAGAUGAAGUAUUGAUGGUGGCAUAUAAUUCAAUAUUCUAUCAAAAUUAGAUACUUGAUAGUAGAGACACCUAUCACAUGUGCCCACAUAGAUCAUGGUUUGACUCAUAUGAGUCAUGUGAAGGAGGAUCGGCAUCCAUGGGUAAUAAUUCCACUAGCAAGGUGGUUGGAAUGGGUUCGGUUCACCUAAUGAUGUUUGGUGGGACUAUUUGGGCAAUUAAGGAUGUUAGGCAUGUGCAAAAACUAAAAAAGAGCUUGAUUUCCCUCUCUUAUCUAGAUUCGGAAGGUUAUAAGUUCACCAGUCAAGGUGGAGUAAUCAAAGUAUCAAAAAGGGUUUUAAUUGUGAUGAAAGGACUCCUAGUUGGGAGCUUGUAUAAGUUAUUGGGAAACACAAUAAUAAAUGAUGAAGUGAAUUCUACGGUCGAAUGUGAGGAAGUUCCAUUUCGCCUAUGGUAUAGAAGAUUUGAGCAUAUGAGUGAUAAGUGUAUGGAGGUCUUGAUGAAGAAGAAUUUUAUUUCUACACUUAAAAUUGAUGGAUCCGAAUUUUGUGAGCAUUGUGUCUAUGGGAAAUAAUAUAGACAACUUUUCAAGAUCGGGAAGCAUACAAGCAAGUGCAAACUUGGUUACAUUCACUCGGAUGUAUGCGGUCCUUCACCAACUACAUCUUAUGAUGGUGCAUUAUAUUUUGUUUCAUUUGUUGAUGACUUCUCAAGAAAAGUAUGGAUUAAAAUUCUCCCUAGAAGUGAUGUGUUUUGUGCACUUAAGAAAUUUAAAGCCGAAGUUGAAAAAUCUACGGGGCAUCACAUCAAAGUUCUUUGGACUGAUAAUGGUGGAGACUUUGUAUCAAAUGAGUUCGAAAUUUUUUGCAAAGCUAAGGGAAUUACUAGGCAUUACACAAAUGCCUACAAUCCUCAACAAAAUGGUGUCGUCGAGAGGAUGAAUCGCACUUUGAUGGAGUGUGCAAGGUGCAAUGCCGGCCUGGAAUAAGAAUUAUGAGCAAAAGCCAUAUCAAUGGCUUGUUAUCUUAUCAACCGAUCACCUUCGGUAUCAUUGGGAAGUAAACGUCCUAAUGAGGUAUGGUAUGAAACUCCGAGUGACUACUCCGAUUUAAAAUUUUUGGUUGUGAUACCUAUGCACUUAUUCCAAGUUGCCAAAGGAACAAAUUGGAUCCAAGGUAAAAGAAGUGCAUCUUUGUGGGUUAUAACAAGGAUGUGAAGGCAUACCAGUUAUGAGAUCCAAGUACCCGAUAAAUAAUUAUUAGCCGUGACGUGCAUUUUGAUGAAUCCAAGGUAUUGACAAAAAAGAUGAUGAUAAAUGACAAUGGUCAAGAAGUGCAAUAAAAGAGCCAAGAAUUUCAAGGCAACCCCGAAACACUUAUACGAAGUACAAUUAUGUCUUAUGAGCAAUACCCAUUGAUCAUGGUGAAGAACUAGGAAGUCAAGAUGAAUAACCACAUAGCUAUCAUGAUGAAGUUGUGCCUUUGGUACAUAGGCGCUCUACUAGAGAAACUUGUGCACCCAGGUGGCACAAAGAUUAUAUGGAUCCAAAUACUAUGCAUGCUUUGAUAGCUAAAAAUGAAGAGUCAACAUCAUUAUGUGAAGCCAUUGAUAACAAUGGUACCAUGAAUUGGAAAAGAGCUAUGGAAGAAGAGAUAUUGGCCCUUCAAAUAAACAAAACUUGGGAUUUGGUGGAGCUACCAAAAAGUAGAAAGGCCGUUGGUUGUAAAUGGGUGUUCAAGAUAAAGAAGGGGUUUGAUGGCAAGCUUGAAAGAUAUAGGGCAAGAUUGAUGGCAAAAGAUUUUUCGCAAAAGGAAGGGAGUGACUUUGAUGAAAUUUUUGCACCGGUUGUCAAGUUGGUUUCAAUUCGCUUGGUGCUUGGGUUAGUUGCUAUGCAUGAUUUAAAACUUGAGCAAAUAGAUGUGAAGACGACUUUUUUGCAUGUAGAAAUUGAAGAGGAAGUGUACAUGCAACAACCAGAAGGCUUCAGAGAGAAGGGCAAAAAAUGACUUAUAUGCAAAUUGAAGAAGUCCUUGUAUGGGCUCAAGCAAGUAUCAAGACAAUGAUGAGCUCAAGAUAAUACAAAAAUUGAUGAGCUCAAGACUUCUUUGAGCAAAAGAUUUGAGAUGAAAGAUCUUGGGCCAGCUAGGGAUAUAAAUUGAAAGGGAUUAGACAAAAUGGAAUUUUCUCAUUAUCUCAAAAAAGUUACAUAGAAAUGGUGCUUGAAAAAGUUAGCAUGAAAGAUACAAAACCGGUGAAGACACCCUUAGCACCUCACUUCAAAUUGUGUUCAAUGCAAAGUCCGAAGACGGAAGAAGAAAGAAGAAACAUUGCUAAGGUUCCUUAUGCAAAUGCGAUUGGAAGUUUAAUGUUUGGAAUGAUAUGUAUAAGACUGGAUAUCGCGCAUGCGGUUAGAGUUCUAAGUCGGUUUAUGACAAACCUUGAAAAGGUUCAUUGAGAAACAACAAAAUGGGUGCUUCAGUACUUGAGAGGUACAACUAAUUAUACAAUCACAUUUGGCAAGGGCUCAAUUCCAAUACAAGGUUUUAUGAAUGCAAAUUUUGUUGGUGAUCUUGAUAGAGGUAGGUCGACUACCGUAUUUGUUUUUCAAUUUGAAAAUAGACCAGUUAGUUGGAUGUCAAGGCUUCAAGACACGGUAGCAUUGUCAACUACCGAAGCUAAGUAUAUGGCGGCAAUGGAAGAAUCAAAAGAAGUUGUGUGGCUUCAAGGGUUGAUAGGUGAGAUGGGCAUUAUGUGCAAGCCCAUAGAACUAUUUUGUGACAAUAUAAGUGUUAUCCAUUUGGCCAAGAACCUGGUUCACCACAAGAGGUCAAGGCACAUAUUGGUUCAAUAUCACUAUAUCCGGCAAGUUGUUGAAGAUGGACGAGUUCGAUUGGUCAAGAUCAAGACCAAAGACAAUAUUGCGAAUAUACUUAAGAAGACCAUCCAAAUAGAGAAGUUAUAAUGGAGCCCAAUUUUCUAGGUUUCAAAAAGAGGGGAAGUGAUGGAUUGACAAGGCAAGUAUGUGAUUUUGCAUCAAGGUAAACAUUGUUGGGGCGUGAUGCUAAAUCACCCCCUUAUGGUAUUCACCCUUUUGAUAACGGGCAUUCUCGUCAAUAAAAUAUGCCUUUUGGUAAAAGCCUUUUGAAAUGGUUAUAUAUAUAGAGAGAGAGAUGCGCGGAUGGACAGAGUGAGAAGGAAGUGCGUGGGCAUGAGAAAAAGGGAGAGAAAAAGGGUGAAAACAAUGAAGAAAGUUUGGGGAAAGAAAAAUUGGGGUUUUUUACUACAAAACCCUAGCACCACCAUUGGGGCGUAUCUUGAGUUAUUUUGUCGGUAUUUCUUCGCGGCUACAGUGAAUCGAAAAAAGGAGUCGACUGCAAGUGGUUUUGUGCUAAGAUGUUCGUUGUUUGAGCAUUCCUUGAGAUUGUAUGAGUUAACUCUGUAUAACCCCAAUCUUGUAAUUUUUUCCUCUUGAUAGUGAUACACAUUUACCGUAUUGCCCGUGGAUGUAGCCCAUUUUAGAUAAACACGUAUAUGUGCAUGUCCCUCUCUACUUCAUUUGUGUUGUGCAUUUAAGAUUUCUUAUAUUGCUUGAUUUCUUGUUUAUAUACUUUUCCCAAUGAUAUUGCACUUGUUAUUACAUCUUGGGCAUAUUAUUUGAGUGUUGAAAUCAUUGUGGUGGAGUGCUCACCACAUCUAGUGGGUUUUGAGAUAUCCCGAUUUGUUCAAAAGGGAUGAUUGGGUUAUCCCGAUUUUACAACAACGCCCGAUACACACAUCCCACAUAAAUCACCUGUAAUAAUCAUGUUUCUUCCACUCUAUUUUAUACAUAAAACUUUAAAAAAAUUAACUUUCUUUCUCUCUGUUUCCCUUUAUUGAUUUCAAACUUAUAAUCAUAGCAAUUGGUAAUCAAUGGUUUAAUCUUUUCUUUCCUUUUCCUUUUCGCACUCAUAUACCUCUCUUUACCAAUUCCUAGUUAGUUUUUUCCAAGAAAAAGUUUAAGCUCCAAUUUUUGGAACUGGUUUUUUCUCUCUUUCAUGUCUAACAAGCCAGGCCCAUGCCUUCGUGCAUUUUUUUCGGGCCUAUCGAGACAGCCCGAAACAGUUCCGGGCCCUGUCCAUUGGCACCCCUAGAUGCAGCCACAUGAAAAUGUAGUUGUGCUAAAGCCGGGGCUUCGCAAGUACACGAUAUUUGCGAGCCCAUUUUGAAACCCAAACCAACGAUGGAAAAACAUUUAUGAAAAAAGUUAGCCUGAAGGUUGGAAAAUGAAGUUUACAGCUCGACAUUGGGCUCGGCCUAGUAACCCGGAGUGGCAUUGAGUAACCCGAAUCGGGUCAGGCAAGAACAGGGGCAAGCUAAAAAGUGUUAAAAAAUAAAAAAUCCCAAAAUAUAUGAAAAGUAUGUUUGAAAAUUAGACUAAACACAUCUAAAUGAGGUUUAAAAACUAGUGAAAAAUAGAUUUUCAAAAGCGAAAAAGUUUAUAUAGAGCCGAGGCUCUAAACAAUCAAAUUAGAGCCCACCUCAAAAAUUUCACUAGAAGAGGUUGUUUUGAUGCCCGAACAUCCUUAAUUGAUCAUCUCGACAUCAAGAUGCGUGCACAUAAGAAAAAAAUUAAUUUCAUGUUUUGGAAAUAGUGCAUCUUGUAGUGUGUUUUUUGACCGGCAAUUUUGAAGAUUUUCAAGCUGUCAUAGAUUUGCUCGAUCGAUACUAUUUUGAAGCUUUAUAUUUUAUAAUUAAAGAUGAAAACAUAUUUUAAGGCUAUCACAAAGAUUUCUAAUAUUGAAACCACUUUUCUCAACACUAUUUGAGGAGAGGCUCCAAUUUGAUUGUUUAGAGCCUUGGCUUUAUACAAACCGCACCUUUUGAAAAAUCAACUUGUGAUGAGGGGUACUUCUAGAAACAAUCCAAAAAAGAAGAAAAAAAUGUAAAAAUGAGUAUUCCGCCAAUUACUUUCCAUUAUUUACAAAAUAGAUAAAAAAUAUUAAGAAUAACAUGUUAGAAAUAAAUGUCUUAGUUUCUAUUUUUAAUAAUUUUUGGAAUUAUUUUUUACGAUCCCAAGCUUGACUACCAAACCGGGCUUAGCCACUAGGCGGGUCCAAAUAACUCAGCCAGGCCCAUGUCAACCUACCUGUUUUUGCAAACACUAGUUCAGAGUUCUAAGUUUCAAACAUCUUCUUGAAAUAAAAUUUAAUUCUGAACUUCGAGUAUCGAGCGUAAUAUUUAAAAGAAAUACGUCAUGUUUGGUACUCUAUAUUCUGAACAAUAUGUUGCUUUAUUACGUUUGGUAAUUAGAAUGUUGAAUAAAAUUUUUGUCAAAACAAUACUUUUUAGAACUUUAGUUUCAAAUUUCACAAAAAAGUUUUUUUUUUUUUUUAAAUGUUGCAACAUAACUGGUUAAAACUUAAAAAAAAAAAAGGAGCACUAAGGUUAUCAAGGAACUUACAGUUCUGAAUCUCGGGGCAUUUUAAAUAGAAAAAAAGGGGAACUUUUUUAAACAUCUCUUAAAACAAAGAAUUUAUAUUAAUUCAUUUUAUUUUUUCUUAAAAUGCCUCCACUUCUCAAAGGUUCGAACUUAACUCAAUUUAGGAUCUUAAACAUCUAAACAAUUAUUUUACUGGACUACAUAAAUCCAAACUCCAAAGGCCUCAACGACUCACGACUUCAAACAUUGAAAAACUGAAAUCAACAUUUAGAAAUUUUAUUUGAAAGUGGCUUGGAAAUGAAAGAAAUACCUAUGUGAUCUUUCGUCGGGAAAAUACAAUUUUUUUUUAAUAAUAAUGUUAUAAUUUUUUGGCAACAAGAUCACUCACAGAUGGUCUUAUUACAAACAAUAGAAAUUCCAAAAUGAAUAACACAUCAAUAAAAUAAAUCUCAACUACUUGAAGUCAUUCAUACAACCUAAUACUGUGCUUGAGAAUAUAAAAUACAAUAACAAACAAAUAAAAGAAAAGAUGCCGGAGAUUACCACAACCGGGCUUUUUACACCCCACACGGAGUCACCACAUCCAAUGGGGCAAGAUCUGUGGCCUAGCUUCAAUCUCGAACCGAGAUAGCUGAUUUCGGCCAAACUAGGUAACGACCCCGUAAAAUCUCUACUAAACCUUAACCCCCACAAUUAACUUAGGUCCCCUCUAAUUUUUCAACCCUUAAAAUUAACUUAGGUCUAGAGAGAAGAGAGGGUACUACCUAAGGGUUUGGAGAGAGAAAAUUAGAGGGAGAAAUAUGGAGGAGAAAGAGUGGGGUGUGUCCCUCUAGGAGAGAGAAAGGUGAGAGAGAGGUUAUGGGAGAGAGAGAGGGUUGUGUAGAGGUUGGGGGAGAACACCACUAUUUAUAGUGAAUAUUUAGGUUUAGGGUUUCUUAGGGUUUUUCCAUAGUUUGUCUCUUUCAUGAGAUUGAAUCUAGACCGUUGAUCAAUGUGACUUGUGAGGUGAGAGAUUUGAGCCAUCGAUUCCAUAGAUGGGCCAUCAACAUUAUGGAAGGUGCUUGAACCAUUAUCCUCUUUCCUUAAACCAUUUUCCCAUAAUAUAUUUAAAUAAAAUCAUUAUCAUGCAUUCCAUAAAAUUUGCAUGAUCCAUGUCACAUAUUCCCUAAGGAUAUGUCAAAUAUUAUCAAGUAAAUAAAUACUGCCAAAUAUAAAUAAGAUAAGGUCAAUAUUUACUAUCUAUUUAAAUUGACCAUAUCCCUUUAAAGCAAAUUUGCUAUAAAACAAAUAAAGCCAUGGUCAAUAUUUCCCUUCCAAGAUUUGACCACAUGCCACAAAUCAAACUUACCUUAACUUAAAGUCUUGAACACAAAGCAAUUAAAGAGAAUCCAAAAGGUGGGGCGUGUCACCCCUUUGUGCCCCACUCACAUGCCACAUGGUAGGCCCAUAUGCACUUUGGGCCCUCAUGAAAUUUUAUAAAAAAGAAAUUUAAAAUUAAAUAAAAUGAAUUAAUAUAUAUUUGAAUUUUUUACAAUUUUGUAAAAUCAAUAACUGUAUUUUUAUAAGUCCAAAAAUCAUAAUUAAAAUAUUAAGAGAUUCAUAAAAAUUCAAAUAAUAAAACUAAAAUCAUUUCAAUAAUAACAUGAACACAAUUAAAUUAAUAUGAUGAAAAAAAGAUCCAUAUGGUUUUAGGAAUUCAAUCUGUGAAUAUGGGGUACUUCACCUCCAACUAUGGACUACAGACCACACUAGUUUUAUCGAACAACUCAGUGUUUCCCAUGACCCACUGUCCAAGCAGGUGCUCAUUAGCGAGUCACCAAAGUCAAGUCGAUGAGUCAAGAUGUCUUAAUCCCAGUCUGUGGAUUACAGGUCCUUCCCUAGAGACGAGUUAAGGCCACCACGACCUGAUGCGACCGCAUCUCUAUGGUGCAUAGGGGUAUCUCUCGCACAUGCAUACGCUUCACCCAAAGGUGGAUAUUUGGCUUUCCCGAACGAUCUAUCGAUAUGCAUGCCGUGUGAUGGAACAUGGAUGUGGUUUUGAACUCCGUUUUAGUAGGCCUACCAUCACACACAAGGGUCACACAGUCCCUCGGCUUAGUCAUCGAGGCAUACGCUCCAACCUCAUUAAAGGCUAACUCAAAACCCUCAUCGGUUAAUUCUUUAUGCCUAGGUACCUUGGGUUUUCUAACCGACUAGCCUAGAUCGAUAAGCACAGUCCGGUAUAACAAACAUUAUUCACUUAGUAUGAUCCUAAAGGGACUACACUCCUACUGAGUUUGUGUUUCAGUAUAAUAAAAGUAUUUCAAUACACACUCAUAAGGCCUUUAGAGGCCACAUAAAACCAACAGAAAAAAACACCCAUAUUUAUACCUAUAUCUCUCUAUUGUUCCCUUUUUUUCUUCAAAGCAUCUCUUACUUGCCCUCUUUCCUCUCUCCUGCCACAACACCCUCAAUCUCUGCUACCAAGUUUGAGAGAGAGAGAGAGAUUGUAUGAGUUGGAGAAAGAGAAGGUGGGAAUAAGGUCAUUCCCUUUUUCUUCCAAGCAUCUCUGACUUGCCCUCUUUCUUCUCUCCUGCCACAACAUCCUCAAUCUCUGCAACCAAAUUUGACAGAGAGAGAUUGUAUGAAUUGGAGAGAGAGACGGUAGGAAUAAGGUCAAGGCAAGAGAGAGGGUUUUGAAAAAUGGUGAGUACCUCGAUUUUGGAUCCAAAAGGUAUAAAACUAAUUGAAAAAAAAAAAUACGAGCGUUGACUUCAAACUUUCAAGGUCCAAAGUUAUGUGUCAUCAAAAUCAUUUUGGAUCUUAAAAGUCUAAAGUCAAGUAAAAUAUUUUUUGGAUAUUCAAGAUCUGAAGUGCAUUCACUUUGAAUCUUUACUCUGAAGUAGUGGCAUUUUAGAAAAUAAAAAAAAUAAAAAGUAAAAAGAGCAUGAACAUACAAAUAUAAAAUUAUGAAAAAUUAUAAUAACAGAAAAUUAAAGAAACGUAAGUGUAAAAUUCUCGUUUUGCUAUUGAAUAAAGAAAUAGUGGUAGUUAUAGAAGGCAUUAUUAUGUCCUACUUUGGUGUAUUAUCAUUUUGCCCUCUAUUGGAUGUCCCAUGUGAAACCCUAAUGAAACUGGAAAUGGCACUCAUUCCAUUCGUUUACUUGCCUGGUCCUAGGGAGCCUUCAACCUUUGGGAAAGAUUGAUCAAUGUAGUUUGAGAUUCCUUGAGAGGGGUUUCUCAAGAAACUUUGAGAUUAUGAGCCACUUGGCAACUGGAAGAUGGAUUCAAAAUUAGAUAUUUUCAAUUUUGAAAUAUGAAAAGUGGAAACUUGAGUACCUGAUAAUUAAGUACAUUUAUGAUUGUAUUUUCUUCCAAGUUAUUUGGUCUAUUUGAGUUCUGGCAAAAAGCAUGAUUUCCAGCAAAUUAUUGUGAAUAAAGCAAAAACUGAUUUAUAUAUAUAUAUAUAUAUAUAUAUAUAAUUCCUAUAAGUUUAUCUCCAAGAACUUUCUUAUGGCCACUGCCAAACAACAAAUAGUGCAUUAUCAUAAUUAUCUUUAUUGAAAUAGUGAACCAUCCACAUGGGCCCUUUGUCGGCUUGAAAUUCUGGGGAUUCCAGAAAAUUGUUUUUGGUUAAAAUUGGAAUUUUGUAAACUAGGAUAUUUGAAAAUCAACCAAUUUUAGCCAUUCAUUGAAGUUUCUAUUAAUUGGAUUGCAUUGUUUGUUAAAUGGAUGAGAUUUCGAAACCAUAGUAAGUCUGACAAAUUGGACGAGCAGAUCACUUAAAAAAACUUUUUGAUAGUUGAGAGCAUGUAUAAGUAUUUCAAUUUUAUUUUUAUUUUCGUAUGCACCACAUUGAGCUAAAUUUUUAGGAAUCUACCCUUCUCACCCACAUGCACAUGUAGGAAACUAUUAGAAAAUUAUUUGAAAAAGAAGGAUCUAGCUCAAAGAGAGCUGAGAAAUUUGGUAUCAAAUAUUAAUUACAAUUGCAAAAACAAAGUAGCCUAGUAUCAAGGUAGAUCAAAGUUGAAUUAUACUAUGCCUGUUGGCUUUACUCAACCAUUAGACAUGGCAAGAUGCACUUUUCUGAAAGAAGCUCCUUAGCUAAAAUGUUCUUGGGUUGGGUAGUGCUAAAAGGAAAAGACGCGGUUCUACAUUUUUUUUACAGAACGAGAAGUCGAUGUUUCGAUGUUACGAAAACAAUGAUCACAACCAUGAACCUUCAGGCUAGAGUUGUAUGGGGGAGAAGACCAGUAGAUUUUGUGAGUUUAGAACUGUAAGAAGUAUUUGGGCCAUGUAGGAUCCUACAAUGCCAGACCAUGGGACAAGGAACUGUUUGGUUGACCUUGUAAAUUUUUAUGUCAUGUAUAGUUUUCUUUGGCUUAUAGGUGGAGACAUUGUGAAUCAUCUCAUGCUAAUAGGAUUACCCUUAUAUCCACGCAUUUAAUGAGUUUCUCUUGAACUAAUACUCGGUGGAUAACCCUACCUCUAGUGUUUUUUUUUUUUUUUGGGUAAUUCAGUGGGGAUGAUGAGCCCUUACUUAUUUUUUGAAAUCGUUAGUGAUUUUUUAAUGCGUUAGUGUUUAUUUUACUUGGUCAAACCAUUUUACAUUUUCUCCCUCCAUGUCCAAAUUGGAUAGAUAUCUUGUAUCCCUCUAAUGGGAACAUGCCUUCCCUAAUGUGACAAGAAAGGAGCUACCUAAUAUUUAUUCAAACCAUGCAUCUAUCCUCUUGAAUGAAUUUGGACUUCCCCAUUUAAAUUCGAGUUGGCAUGGCUCAGGGAUAUAGAUCUCUUUAUGCACUAAUUGAGGCUUUUUGGGCUAAUACAAAGGUAAGUUCUUUUCUUUUUUUUAAUUUUUGUGAUGAAUAAACUAUAACUACUGAUUUGACUCUCAAGAAAUGUAGGAUUAACACUUUUGUUAAGUUGCUUGCCAAAACCAUUUCAAGACAAGUACAAGACUUGAAUAGAACAUAACAAAGUAAGGUGGGAUUAAUGGACAGCAUGACUUAGGGCUUCCUUGUAGGAUUACUUCAUAUUAAAAAAAAAAAGAGAAAAUUAGAUAUAUAUCCGUUAUAUUUUACGUUAUUAUAGAUAUAUCAAAUAGUUUCCGUUAUUAUAUGUCCAUUUUUUACUUUUUAUAACGUAAUUUUUAAAAAAAAAAUAAUUCGGAUGUUGAACAUCCCAAAAUAGGCCGAAAGUUUAACAUUCACAUUCCCAUUUUCGGAUGUUGAACAUCCCAAAAUAGUUUCGGAUGUCGGGCAUCCGAAAAUAUCACAAUUUUCGAUGAUUAAUAUCCGAAAAUAUGACAUUUUCGGAAGUCCAACAUCCGAAACCAUUUUCGGACGUUCAACACUUGAAAAUGUCAUAUUUUUGGAUGUUCAACACCCGAAAAUAUGACUGCAAAAUAUGAUUGUUCAACGACCGAAAAUGAAAAUGUAAGCAUUUAACUUUGGGGCUAUUUUUGGAUGUUGAACAUCCGAAAAGCUCUUCAAAAUGGGAAUCUGAAUGUUAAACUUUCGGUCUAUUUUCGGAUGUUGAACAUCAGAAAAACCCUCAAUUCGGUUGUUCAACACCUGAAAAAAAGUAAAAUCGUCUUUUUUAAAAAAAUUACGUUAUAAAAGGUUAAAAACAGACAUACAUAUAAUAACGGAAACUAUUUGGUAUAUCCGUAAUAAUGUAAAAUAUAACGGAUAUAUAUGUAAUUUUUCCUAAAAAAACACUAGAGGUAGGGUUAUUCACCAAGUAUUAGUUCAACAUUAAAAUUACAUACAUAUCCGUUAUACUUUACGUUAUUACAGAUAUACCAAAUAGUUUCCGUUAUUACAUAUAUGUCAAUUUUUCACCUUUUAUAACGUAAUUUUAAAAAAAAACAAUUUUACCCUUUUUUCGGAUGUUGAACAUCCAAAAAUUGGCUAAAAGUUUAACUUUCACAUUCCCAUUUUUGGGUGUUGAACAUCCGAAAAUGGUUUCGGAUGUUGGACAUCCGAAAAUGGUUUCGGAUGUUGGACAUCCGAAAAUGGUUUCGGAUGUUGGACAUCCGAAAAUAUCACAUUUUUUGAUGAUUAAUAUCCAAAAAUAUGAUAUUUUCUAUUGUCCAACAUCCGAAAUCAUUUUCGGAUGUUGAACAUCUGAAAAUGUCAUAUUUUCGGAUGUUCAACACUCGAAAAUAUGACUGCGAAAUAUGAUUGUUCAACGACCAAAAAUGAGAAUGUGAGCAUUUAACUUUCGGGCUAUUUUCGGAUGUUGAACAUCCGAAAAGCCCUUCAAAAUGGGAAUGUGAAUGUUAAACUUUCGGUCUAUUUUCGGAUGUUGAACAUCUAAAAAACCCUCAAAUUCGGUUUUUCAACACCCGAAAAAAGGUAAAAUCAUCUUUUUUAAAAAAAUUGCAUUAUAAAAAGUAAAAAACAGACAUACAUGUAAUAACGGAAACUAUUUGGUAUAUCCGUAAUAACGUAAAGUAUAACGGAUAUGUAUGUAAUUUUUCCUAAAAAAAAAAAGAAAAACAUUCAAAAUCUCAUUUACUUUGAAUAUAAGUAGGUCACAAUCAAUUGUGUUCAUCAUAUUUUAAAUCCAAUAGUUGAGAGUAUGUCAUUGACUAUUUUCAAAAUCCAAAAAAUUUUGGCCCAAAAUUCAAUAUUUAUGGGUUUGAAAUAUCUACAUGUGAAGUUCACCGUAAACGAAAUAGCUCAAAAAUGGUCACUCAAAUCCAUCAAAUCGGCCGCUUUUGACAAGCGUGGCCGCUAUGUUAGACCUAACUUGAUUACAUAUCAAAAGAUUGAUCUAUCGGCCUGGAUAUGAUCUAUUAGCGUUAGCUGCAUAAAAGAGCAUGCCAUAAAUCUCAAGAUAUCAUUAGAUUAAGUUGCUUCCCAAAUGCAGUUCAAACUUUUAGGUAAAUACAUUUUUUUUAUUCAGUAUUUGGUCUUCUUGCGUAUUUUGUAAAUGUCUCUCAAUACAACUCUCCAGUAUCUUGCAACAUAUUAUCUAUGCUGUCCAUUUUCAAGAUUUUCAUAUGUUUAUAGAUCUACUUGAAUUUAAUCAUUUUUAGGACUUAAAAUAUUAUAAUUAGAUAUGAAAAUAAAAUUUCAGAUAAUUUUACAAAUUUUUUAAACCAAAAUUACAUAUAUUGAUAAAAUUUGGAGAUGUGCCUUAAUUAGAUUGUUUAUGGUUGCAACCUUAUAGAAACCACACCCUUUAAAAAAUGGUGGCCUGCAUUUUAUACAGAGCUAGUGUUUAUUUGCUCUAAAAAAAAGGGUGUUUGGAUCCCAGGACGUCCUCUAUUUUCGGGCAAAAGGUCAAGCUAACACAACACCAUCAGUUGCAAAAUGGGUAGAAAGUGCUGCUCAUUAUAUAUAUACACAUAAUAUUAAAGAUUUUUUGUUUAAAAAAAGAAAAAGAGCUUGAUUCGGCCGAAUACAUCGCCUCGGCCAAAGCCCGAGCCCUGCCGAGUCGAUGUUUUGAACCUUGCCAUCGUUCAAAUUUUCUUAAAAGGAAAAGUAGUUGGCGAGGAUCCAAAAUACAUGGAGGUUUAAUGCAUCAUGGGUCAAUCAAAUUUCCAACAUUUAGCUCUAAAUCCAUUUUUUUUAGUGCGACAAUCAAUUUUUCAUGGUUUAUAUUUAUGUGGUUAAUAUGGCUUUGGGUCCUAGAUUCAUGAAAAAUAUGGGUUUUAAGGAGGGCCUCAUGGUGUUUGGGAGGGAUGAGACUACCAACUUACACUGCUCGUUGUAAAAUUUGCCCAAAACAAAAAAAAGACAAAUAUAGCUAUUUUUACUUGAGAGAAAGUGGACUUGUAGAAAAAUAUAUAGUAAAAAUUUAUAUGGUCAAGAAAGGAGGAUUGUGGUUGUAAAGGCAAUAAAAUGGUCAAGAAAAUAUGGUUAGGUUGUAAGGGUGGUCAAGAAAAUAUGGUUAGGUUGUAAGGGUGGUCAAGAAAAUAUGAUUAGGUUUGUAAGGGUGGUCAAAAAAAUAUGAUUAGGUUGUAAGGGCAAUACUUGUCAAGAGAGUAUUUGGCUUCUUUUUUUUUUUUUGAUAUGUUAACAGUUGGAAUGGAGGAUGGGACAUUAUGUUCAGGCAUUCGUUCCCCUAACCACCAUGCCCCAACCAUGAAAGAAGCUAGUUUUGCACAAGGAGAAUUUCUUUGGUUUCUUGGUAAUUAAAAAUUGAUCACAAGCAUAUACUUGACUCUAAUACCUAAUAAUAUUGGAAAAAACCCAUCUAAACGGCAUUAGAAUUACCAAUAUGGGAAAAAAUGAUGAUGAUGGAUCUAGGAGUGCAUUUUUUUGCUAGUAAAACCUUAAAAAAUGGGUCAAACUUUCUUCAUGAAUUGAUGUUCGGAAAAAAGUUUAUAUAAGGCAUCAAACUUAUAUGAUGAAAGUGAGAGGCACCUCGAAAUACAUUGGAAAAAGGUUGUGUUGAUCCUGGAAAUCCUUCUAAUUUAUCAUCUCAACCUCUAGAUGCAUGGAAAUGAAAAAAAAUUAAUAAAAAAGGAAAUUUCAAGUCUUAAAAAUAACGCAUCUUAAAACGCGGCAUCUGAAUUAUCCAUUUUUAAGAUUUUUAGUGUUUAGAAAUCUGUUUAAUCUACAUUAUUUUUGGAGCUUUCGAUUUCAUUAUUAUAGGUGGAAAUUGAUUUUUAGGUCGUUUAGAGGUAUGGGAGACAUGCAUGUACAUGCGCAAACCGUCCAUUAUUUUGAGUAACUGUUUUGGCGCUCCAUUAUUUUCUUUUUAUCAUUAUUUUUAUGGAACCAAAUUAAUCAUAUUCUUAUUUAUUCUUACCUAUUGCCUUCGUGCAUGGCAUGGCGGAAUGGGUAAGGUUUAGGUGUGUCAGGGAGAGCACCUAUUAUAAUGGAUCCACCUUUCGAAUUUCAUUUAGAAUGGAAUAUUUGGGAUCCAAAAUUUUGUUAGUCUAUAAUCUCAAUCACCAUUAUUAUGAAUUUAUUUCCAUUACAAUUAUGUAUUUGAACAAAAAUAGAUAAAUUGUGAGCUUUAAUUUUAUUUUAUUUUUUUUUACAAUAAGCCUUAAAAUAGUAUUUAUCAUAUAUUCUUUUGAAUUCUUGAAAGAUCAUGAAAUCUAAACUAUUUAUGGGGUUCUAAAUUCAUAAAUUGACUCGUAAAAGUAGAUUGCAAUGAUUUGGAGUGUAUUAUAAGUAUUAGAACUCUUGAAAACCAAGGUAUGUUCGUGAGUGGGCAAAGUCGUCAAAAACCUUUUUUUUGUUAUGCAUAAUGCAAACUAUGAAAACUCACCAAUAGUUAGACAUUUAGGGCAGUUUGGUUUGCAUGAAAAUAUUUUCUGAGAAAUUUUUUUGCAUGAAAACAUUCUCUCAUGUGGGUAGGCAUGAGAAUAUUUUCAUACCAAAUAGCUGCCAAUCACAAUUGGAUCUUUUACUUCUCACUUUCUAAAAAAUGUAAUAUUACUUCUCAUUACCAUAUAAAAUAGUAGCAAUAGUAAUAGUAUCAUAGUAAAAUAUACUUGAAACAGUUGUAUAUUAAGGUCUUAGAAGAUGGUGCCGGCAUGGCCUCAAUACAUGCAAGACGCUAAUGAGUAGAUGGCACCGAAACGGGUCAAGUAAUGGAUUUUUUGUUCAAUAUUAUAUAAUAUGGCUACAAUGUAAUCCCACGGGAGCACGCUGUACAAUUACUCCCUGAGGAAAAGGACCAUAGGAGACUUUCAGAAAGAAUUCAAAUCACCUGAUGAGUACUUAGAAAAAUAGGGAAAAAAAAAAAAAGUCCUAAAAAUUUAGUUUCGACUGUCGAAAAGUGGGGAAGAUUGUAUAAAUGUAAUGAAUUGUUUCUUCAAGCACAUACUGGCAAAUAUUUAUUCCUUUUUUAGGUUAGCAUCUAGUGUCGAAGAGGUUACUUCCCUGAAAUUUUGGGUCUUAAAAAUACUCCUCGAUAGACUACUAUCCAAGAUAAAUAUAGUUGAUGUACAUUACAGCGUCCUCAAAUUCGAUCCGCUUCGCGACUACAACAUGCUCCCCUUGGAACAUGCAAUUUUUUGGUCUUCUAUAACAAAAAAAAAAAAAGAUCAAUAGUGCAAUAAUAUAAUGUGAUGAAUGGAUUUGGGUGUACCCAUUUGUAUUGGUUUGUGGUGGGUACCAUAAAAGGGAAUUUCCACUCAACCGCCCUCCAAAUUGAUUGUUGGAUUGAUUGAUUCAUUUGUAAUUGAUAUAAAAAAAAACAAGAGAAAGAAAAAGAGAUAUAGUUUCGAUGUUGUCCUAAUGUUUGUCCAUAUGAGAAUAUGAUUUACAGUUUUUUUUUUUUUGACAAGGGAGUAUAUGAUUAGGGUUCCUACUAAUGAUUGGAUGCAUACAAAUGUUUGUGUUUUGUGAGUCUGGUUUGUUUUAUGCAGCCAAUUCAAUAGUGAAGCGGCUGGCCUCCACCGGCCAGCCGCCACCGGCUAGAGAAAGGAAUCUUUGUUCUUCAUCAAGACCCUUGCUGGAUAAAAUAAAAAUAAAAAAACAAAGUGAAAAGUUCCGAUGAGAUCUUAUUCAAAUCGAAUCUCAUUCCACAAAUUCAUUUUAGAGAUAAGGUUUGGAAUCUUAAAUUUAUGUAAGUUAUUCUAGAUGCAUUUCUGCUUUAUAUUUAUAAUUUUAUGGCUCAAAAACAUUAGAGAAUUGAUGAUUCGCAAAGAAUAAAAUAAAUGGUAAAAAAAUAAAGGUUUCAAUAUGAAAAUUUUCAUAAAUAUCCUUUUUUUUUCGGAUCCAUGAACACUUAUUUUUGGGGACGAAAUAGAUGGUUUAGAUAAUGUAUUAUAAUAUAUGUUAUUUUUAGGGCUUGAAAUCCUAUUUUUCUUUGGUCAAGGCUGAGAUAAUCGAUUUGAAGGUUUUCCGAUGUUAGAAAUACAAUUUUGAGUUUUGAAGUGAGGUUUUAAUUAUCUUGACAGGGCUGCAGCCCUAUCAAAACAUUUUGCAACUAUAAGAUACUGAGUUUUUAAUUUGAAAAAAGGAAAAAAAAAAAGAUAUCUACGAAAAUUACCCUUCUAAAUAUUCUAUUUAAAGUUGGAGAUCAUUGUUUAGUAUUCAUGACUGUGAUGAUUGCAAUUUUUGUCUUGAAAAAUCUCAGGCCCAAAAUUUUCAAGGAGAUCGCAUUUUAACAUAUGGAGUCGUGCACGUCGACCACCUCAAUAAACAUCUAUCAUCACAUCUAGUGUUCGCAAAAUUGAACCGAAAUGGUUAACCGGACAUGGGCCUAGAAGCGUUUAACCGGCCUAAUCAGUAAACCUGCCGAUGUAACUGCACUAACUGGACAAGUCCCAGUAGGUCAAAAAAGCGUUAAAAAUAAAUAAAAAAAGUAUAACAAAAAAUCUACUAAAAUAUAAAAAGCAUAUAAAAAAAUGAUUAAAACAAAAUACAUUCAAAUGAAGUUGAAAAUUAAUGAAAAAAUGGAUUUUAACCCAUUUUAUACUUUCCAAGGGGCUAUUUUAAAAUUUUUCUAAAAAAGAUGGGAAGAUGUAAAAUGAGUAUGAACGACCAAAACAAUUUUUAAUCUUUACCAUAAUGUAAAUAAUAUUUUAAAAUGUAUUACAAAUUAAUUUCUUUAUUUUUAAGAAUUUAUAUACAUUGUUUUUUUGAAAUUUUUUUAAAAAAUACCAAUUGAUCACUAUAACCGCCCAAAACCGAAACCCUGUCACUGGCCGGUUCCGAUCUAACCAGAUGCUUAGCAGUUAGAUCGGGCGAUUUUACGAACAAUGAUCACAUCAAUAAGUGUACAAGGUGCUCCUAUGGAAGCACAGUAUACAUACUUGUCGCUUUUCUAAUAGCAUAAAGAUAUUAUUCCUCGGGAGUAGGGAGUAUAAUGUUCAUUUACUCCCACAAGUAAAAUCCCACUUAUAAUUAAUUUUAAGGUAUGAUUUGCAUAAGGUUGCAACCUUAAACAAUCAAAAUAAUGUGUACCUCCAAACUAUAUAAUGAUAUGUAAUUUUUUAGUCGAAAAUUUUUAGGAUGGUCCGAGAACAUAUUUUUAUAUCUAAUUAUAACAUUUUAAAUUCUAAAAAUAAUUUAAAUCAAAAAAAUAUGUAAACACAUAAAAGUAUUGAAAAUGAACAGUCUAGAUAAUACGUUGCAAGACUACUAUUUUUAGGUCUUAGAAGAUGGAGCCGGCAUGGCCUCAAUAAUAUUAUAUAAUAUGACAACAAUGUACUCCCAUGGGAGCACGUUGUACAAUUACUGCCUAAGGAACAGGGCCAUAGGAGACUUUCAGAUCAACAAGAUUUUAAAGAAUUCACAGCAGUACUUCGAAAAAAAAGAAAGGAAAAAAAAACAAAAAAAUUAGUUACGACUGUCGAAAAGUGGGGAAGAUUGUAUCAAUAAUGAACAGUUUCUUCAACACUGGCAAAUAUUUCUUUAAUUUUUUAGGUUAGCAUCUGGUGUCGAAGUGGUUAUAUCCCGAAAUUUUGUGUCCUAAAAGUACUCCUCGAUAGACUACAAUCCAAGAUAAAUAUAGUUGAUGUACAAGACAGUAUCGUCAAAUUCAAUCUGCUUCACGACUACAACAUGCUCCCCUUGGAACAUGCAAUUUUUUGGCCUUCUAUAACAAAAAAAAUAAGAUCAGCAGUGCAAUAAUAUAAUGUGAUGAACGGAUUUGGGUUGUAUCUAUUUGUAUUGGUUUGUCGUGGGCACCAUAAAAGAGAAUUUCCACUCAAUGACCCUCCAAAUUGAUUGUUGGAUUGAUUGAUUCAUUUGUAAUUGAUACCAAUAAAAACAAGAAGAAGAAAAAGAGAUAAUUUUAAUGUUGUCCUAAUGUUUGUCCAUAUGAGCAUAUGAUUUUCUUUUUUUAUUUUUGUUUUGAAAAGGGAGUAUAUGAUUAGAGUUGUUACUAAUGAUUAGAUGCAUACAGAUGUUUGUGUUUUGUGAGUCUGGUUUGUUUUAUGUAGCCAAUUCAAUAGUGAAGCGGCUGGCCGCCACCAGCUAGAGAAAUGAAUCUUUGUUCUUUAUCAUGGAAAAGAAAUAAUAAAAUAAUAAUAACAAAAUAAAGUGAAAGGUUUUGAUGAGAUCUUAUUCAAAUCGAAACUCAUUCAAAAAAUUCGUUUUAGAGAUAAGGUU